ACUGUGAGAGAUAGUGCUGAUGAUAACACAGACGAUAACGGGUGACUAAUUUGACCGUUGUGAUCACUUGGGCGUUACAGGAUAACUUUACUCUCGUGUGUUUGUCCGGUUGACAUCAAUCCAUCUAUCAAGGCAGGAUGUCGUCUACACUGUUUAAGUUGUUCCUGGUGUGUUCACUUUGCUAUUUAGCAACAUCCUCCAAAGUAUCCUCUAAUGCUCGAGGUUCCUCGAAACAGACAAUUUCGGUAAUGACAGUCAGCCAAAUGACAUCAAAUGCCACGGUCAACGCAAUGACAACGAACACCGCUGUAGUCACGUCAGGAAAGACUGGAUCUAACCCUACAAACCAAGGACCAACGGAGACGAGUCCGGAACCGAAAUCCCCAACGACAAACCCAGGACACCACAUCACUUCACAAUCAACACAAGGAUCGCAUACGUCAGAUAGCAACCCCAGAACAACUCCAGCGCCACCUCAUGCAUCUGCCACUUCUUUCAGUUCCUCAACAGUAUCAUUGUUGAUUAGUGUAGGCAUGUCUCUGGUGUAUAAGAGCUGGUUGUAGAACAUUUGUUGCAUAACAUACCUUGACCCCUAUGACGUUCUGCGCAACACAAAGCGAUAAUUGAACAGAGAUUGCGGUUGCUUAUUUGACCUAUGCUGUACACUGGUCUGUACAAUAGCUUACUAUAGUAUUUAUUCUACGGUCGUGAAGCUUGUGUUAAUCAUCACAUUUGUUUGAUUUUUUUUUCUGUUUAUUUGUUUGUUUGGUUUCUUAGCAAAAAAUGAAUUUUGGUGAAAUAAAUAUCUGACACUGGAUGUCGAUACACGUACCAUAUCAAAUAAAA